GUGGCCUUCAAUGUUGCUUUGAAAAUACUUUCCUUUGUCAUCGAUCUUCUUCGAAAUUUGCUUCUUGGGCUUGGCUUCGUUCCUUUGCUUCUUCACAGGUUUCUUCUUUUUCUUGAAAGAAGACUUUCUCUCAGAGGAAGCCCGCUCUACAGUCAGAACUGUACCUCUUAAAUUUUUCAAGGUGCCCUCUACUGUUACUAGCAUGUUCAGUAAUUCAGACAA
rnacentral:lncRNA from 1 species